rnacentral:tRNA from 1 species
GGGGGUGUAGCUCAGUGGUAAAGUGCAUGCAUAACAUGUGUGAGGCCCUGGAUUCAAUCCCCAGUACUGCCA